GGAGAACCGGUUUGCCUGGUAUGUGGCAAAUAUGGAGAAUAUAUUUGCGAUGAGACUGAUGAUGAUAUCUGCAGCUUGGAGUGCAAAGCGGUGCUUUUACGAACUCUAAAAUUUAAAGAGGAUCCCUUGAGCAACCAAAGUCCGGUCACAGCUUCAGCUGAGUUUGUUUCUGGAUCAUCUGUGCCUGAAGAAGAAAAUUAUGCUUGGGAUUAUGUUCGGCACCAGUGGUCCAAUAGGAAAUCCAA